CUCUCUCCCUGCCCAGUAAAGAUGUGAGACUAUAAAUAUUAGCCAGUGUCUACUGGGCCAUCACAAGACCUUACUGGAUUUAACUAGACGGUCACCUAAGAUUUAAACUAGCAAAACUAGCGUUGAGAGUUAUUAGUUAAAAAAAAGGUUGAAGUAGUUCAUAAUUCUCUUCUCUACAAUGUUACACUCAAUAAAUAACAUUCACAGAUGCUCUCUAUCGCUGGUGUUUGCUGUCUGCUUAUCCCUCCUUCUGUUUAGCAACGGAUGCUCAGAAGCCUCCAUAUACCACAUAAAAGGAAUCUGUUCACAUAAAGACAAGUUUUACAAACCAGGAGAUUCUUUUCGGAGAGGCUGUGACAAGUGCUUCUGUCAUGACUUUGGUGCCUACUGCUUCACGCCAAUAAAGCCCACUUCCUGGCCCAAGAAGUGUCGUCGGAUCAGGACAGAGUGCAGAUAUACAGUCGUUUAUAAAGAAAACCCACAGGUGGAGUGCCGAGCCUACAGCUGGAUAGGUUGACAAACUGGACUAUUUUAAAUAUGUAGAUAAUGUAUGAUCUGCAUAGUACAUAGUGUAUAUAUAGUUGUCAAACUUUUGUUUUGAACAGCAUAACCUCAAUGAUAUUACUGAAUUAAUGAGGACAAGUCAAAUUAUAAUUUGAUGCUUACUGGAAACAAGAAGAUAGAGUCACCAUUCUUUGUUUGUUGGUGUUUUUUUUUUUUUUGUAAUGAUUAAAAUUGGUACAAGACAG